UACGUAGGGUGCGAGCGUUGUCCGGAAUUAUUGGGCGUAAAGAGCUCGUAGGCGGUGUGUCACGUCGUUCGUGAAAACCUGCAGCUUAACUGUGGGCGUGCGGUCGAUACGGGCAUCACUGGAGUUCGGCAGGGGAGACUGGAAUUCCCGGUGUAGCGGUGAAAUGCGCAGAUAUCGGGAGGAACACCGGUGGCGAAGGCGGUUCUCUGGGUCUGUACUGACGCUGAGGAGCGAAAGCGUGGGGAGCGAACAGG
rnacentral:rRNA from 1 species